rnacentral:rRNA from 1 species
UACGAAGGGGGCUAGCGUUGUUCGGAAUUACUGGGCGUAAAGCGCGCGCAGGCGGGUCUUUAAGUCAGGGGUGAAAUCCUGGAGCUCAACUCCAGAACUGCCUUUGAUACUGGCGAUCUUGAGUCCGGGAGAGGUGAGUGGAACUGCGAGUGUAGAGGUGAAAUUCGUAGAUAUUCGCAAGAACACCAGUGGCGAAGGCGGCUCACUGGCCCGGUACUGACGCUGAGGUGCGAAAGCGUGGGGAGCAAACAGGG